UAAGUUUUGUUCAAUUUCAUUUGUUUUGUAGUCGGUAUCUUCAACUGCUUGGAUUAGUGGUGGGCUUGUCUGAUCAUUUCCUGCAGAUAAAUCAGAUUGGCUAGGGUGAAAUGCAAUCAAAUAGGCAUCAGAAUCUUCAGCACAGGUGCCAAUUGAAAGUGGUGUCAAAAUAUUAUCUACAAAUAAUAUUCAAAAUGCUCUGGUGAACUGGAUGGAACUAGUUGGUUGUCACAAUUCCCCCCCCCCCCCUGCUGCCUAAUGAGGCCAAAGAAGUUCUCCAGAGGAUCUUGGUUGAGACAUCUUGUCAUGAGAAACUCCAAGGAAUGAUGUUGGUUUAUAAGGUCUUGAAAUGUAAAUACUACAGUGUAAUUACUACUGACAGUGUAAAUACUACAACAGUGAAAUGUAAAUGCAACAGUGUAAUUG